AACGUGGGAAGUCAGUAAAGUCAGUAACAACAUAAUUUGAUAUAACAUAUUUUCAGAGAAAAUGCGUCGAUCGCUGUUUAUUUCAGUCACUUUAGGAUUUUGUUUUGUGUUUGCUAAAAAUGGAUCCAUUAUUCUCUCGCCAGAAACCGAGAAUAAGGGUCCGCCAAUAUGUACAUCCUCGAGCAGUCUUUGUGGACUAAACUACCGUUACGUCACGGAUGACGAUAUUCCAGUAGAAAUUUUAUACAGUGAAAACGAGAUAUGCCAGUGUCCAGACAACAGAACAUGCGCUAUCCGAUACGACUGGGACAACAUGACAAACUCGGUGGUGCAAAGGCUUUUGACGGGUGGUGGACAUCAACUUCUUGUGAAGAUAAGUUACUGUCAACUGCCGAAAAAGCGAAGAAGACCUUGUGGGUUUAAUAAACCAGUCCUAGGUCAGUAGAGGGCGCGGGAUGUUCAAAUUUGAUCUUGUGGGCGAAAUGCUGUGCAUAUGCAAGAACCGGCCUCUUGUUCCAAGGUCGGGCUGGAUUGAAGGAGAAUACGAUUAUGUAGAAUACGGAUGUGGGCAGCCCAAGUGUUCUGCCUUGAAGACGACAGUUUGUUCUGAAGUAACACUCGUUGGUGAGGAACUUAGAAGCCGAUACUUCUGUCGAUGUAAGAAGUUUGAAAUAUGCAAUGGGGACUUGCCUUAUGAAAAUGGCCAGACUUUACAACACACAUGUCAGCUGAUGUAAUUUUUCUACCUUGAAGGCUGGACUGAAGAAAUAUAAGGUUCACAUAUUUCGAAACUCCACAGUUCUACAGAAACACCAGACUAUAAAUGAUAAAUUUGAUAAAACAGUAAAGCACAGUUUGCUGGAGCAUUGCCUGCUCGAGCACCAGAGCAAACUUGUGCAAUCCAUGUGGUUUUCCAUCGUUUUUUUCUUUGUUUGGAAUCGUUCGAAAUCCGGGAUAACUAGAAAAGUUUGCUCACCUGUUUGCGGCUUCAACUGCUGGUGGUUAACUGUGUGACAAUUAUAUAAUCAUAUACCGCUGGAUAUUUUUAUCACUGUUAUAUAUAUUGACUAGGUUUGAAUACUGAUACUAUUUGUUUAUAAAGUCUCUGACAGCUUAUAAAACAACAGCAUGUAACAACUCGAAAUAGUAGAUUGAGAAACUAUUAAAACAACAAUGUCUUUAUUGAGUGAUAAGGUGUCUCUAAAAGGUGUACAAAACAUGUCGUAGUUAGCCAGACUACAUUAAACAUGUAUAUACUUUGUUUCAUUACCAAGCUCUACCACAUCUGUAGGAAAGCAAAGUUUUUCAACAUGAUACACGUUGGAAAGGUCAGCGGUUUUCAUUUUUAUGUCAUUUUCUGUACAUUGCAUCGCAAUAUGUGUUUAAAUCGCUUGAGAACCAAUAAGCAUGGUUUUAUACGUUUGGUGAAAACUUUAUUUUCUGUUCCAUUGUUCAGCCAGAAUUUCAUUAAGUUACUCUGUCAUUUAAUAUAUUGCUAUUUUGCAUUUUGGUUGACAUACUUUACUCAUUUCUUGUAAUAUAAAUCAGAUAUAGAA
rnacentral:lncRNA from 1 species